rnacentral:rRNA from 1 species
UACAGAGGGUGCGAGCGUUUAAUCGGAAUUACUGGGCGUAAAGCGCGCGUAGGUGGUUUGUUAAGUUGAAUGUGAAAUCCCCCGGGCUCAACCUGGGAACUGCAUGCAAAACUGGCAAGCUAGAGUAUGGUAGAGGGUGGUGGAAUUUCCUGUGUAGCGGUGAAAUGCGUAGAUAUAGGAAGGAACACCAGUGGCGAAGGCGACCACCUGGACUGAUACUGACACUGAGGUGCGAAAGCGUGGGGAGCAAACAGG